UGACAGGGAUGUGUAUCGAAUUUGUUCACCUGAAAUACCAUGUGGCAGUGAGAGCUUUUUAACCCGGAGACAA
ensembl:snoRNA SNORD36 Small nucleolar RNA SNORD36